rnacentral:tRNA from 1 species
UAGCCCAGUGGUAAAGCACUUGCCUAGCAUGCAGGAGGCCCUGGGUCCAAAUCCCAG